GGUAAUGCCGAACUGAUACUCUUCCUUGGGCUUUGGGCUGAUGGGCCGUCACUGCUGUUGGGCUUGUUUAGUCCGUACCCCAUCACUGAGCAUGCUCGUAUUCGACCUCUUGUAACUCUCACAGUGUGGAAAGAGCUGCUGAAAGAGAACAAGGACUUUUUCCAAGCAUACUUCCAAUCUCUAUCUCUUAGGCCAUACUCAAAUACAGAUAUGUUCAAAGGGCACCAUGAUUUGGAAGAAGAAACCAGCGCAAAUACAUAACUAUAAGAAGAUGAAAGAAUUCUAUAAGGGAAUACAUGUAGCAGCAUUGGAGUGCUGCAUUAGUUAGAACCUCCUAAAUCCAUAAUUAUCUUAUCCCCAAUACUUUUACAGUACUUUUUUUUUGGAUGAAUCAAACUUGCACUAUAGUUAUUAUUUUGUUUGAUAUUGUUGUAUCAAGAAGUGUGUAUGUGAAAAAAAAUAUCUUAUGAAAGCAAU